rnacentral:rRNA from 1 species
CCUACGGGUGGCUGCAGUGAGGAAUAUUGCGCAAUGGGGGAAACCCUGACGCAGCAACGCCGCGUGAGUGAGGAAGGUUUUCGGACCGUAAAGCUCUGUCGAGCGGGAAGAAAUGUGUAGUGGCUAAUAUCCAUUAUGCUUGACGGUACCGCUAAAGGAAGCACCGGCUAACUCCGUGCCAGCAGCCGCGGUAAUACGGGGGGUGCUAGCGUUGUUCGGAAUCGUUGGGCGGACAGGGCAUGUAGGAUGUGAAAGCCCUGGGCUUAACCUAGGAAGUGCAUUUGAAACUGUUCAGCUGGAGUAAGGGAGAGGAAAGUGGAAUUCCUGGUGUAGAGGUGAAAUUCGUAGAUAUCAGGAGGAACACCGGUGGCGAAGGCGACUUUCUGGCCCUAUACUGACGCUGAGACGCGAGAGCGUGGGUAGCAAACAGGAUUAGAUACCCGAGUAGUC